CCGCCGCGCGCGGCGGGCUACGGGAGGCAGCAGUGGGGAAUAUUGCACAAUGGGCGCAAGCCUGAUGCAGCCAUGCCGCGUGUAUGAAGAAGGCCUUCGGGUUGUAAAGUACCUUCAGCGGGGAGGAAGGUGUUGUGGUUAAUAACCGCAGCAAUUGACGUUACCCGCAGAAGAAGCACCGGCUAACUCCGUGCCAGCAGCCGCGGUAAUA
rnacentral:rRNA from 1 species